AUGAUUGCGAAUGGUCACCUUCAGUGCUGGCUCUAAACAGCAAGUGCACGUUGGUGACUUUCAUCCAAUACCACCCCUUGUGAACCUUUGCCCUCAUACUAGCUUCGGCUGGCAGAGGAUUUUACAUAUACACUCGAAUGUAAUGAAAACUAUUGUUGUGCACAAGCACUAAUAUACAACUUUCAACAACGGAUCUCUUGGCUCUCGCAUCGAUGAAGAACGCAGCGAAAUGCGAUAAGUAAUGUGAAUUGCAGAAUUCAGUGAAUCAUCGAAUCUUUGAACGCACCUUGCACCCUUUGGAAUUCCAAUGGGUAUGCUCGUUUGAGUGUCAUUGUACUCUCACACUCUCUGAUCCUUUGGAUGUGGGAGUGGUGGACUUGGGUGUUUGCUGCUUUCAUUGUGGCUCACCUCAAAUGUGU
rnacentral:misc_RNA from 1 species